CAAGUUAUAACUAGGUUAACUUUUAUUUACACUAAAAGUUUUAUUUGUGCGAUUCAAAUUAACUUGA
rnacentral:tRNA from 1 species